CCCGGAGCACAGCAACUGCCUCACUGCUGUGUCCCUCCCCAGGAAGGACAACGCCAGCUUCCAGGACCCCCUGUGGGGUCAGCUGAGGCCUCUGACCUGACUAUAGAGCCACUGGGCCCUGCUUCCCUCCCUCCCAGACAGGGCUGUAUCCAAGAGCACUCCUGAUAAACCUCCUGCUCUCAAAUCACUGCCUUGGACAUAGUGUUUCCCCAGGAACAUGUCUCAUGGCACUUAGGAAAUGGAGUCCAUGGACUUGAAAGGUGACUAAGAUACUACAUGUAUCAGAACCAAUUGCAAUGUUGGGGACAGUAGGAUGUCUUCUAAACCCGACUAAGAAAAUAACCACUGUUCACAGUGAAACAAGAAUGCUUUAAGUAAGAGAAUAAUAGCUUCUUGAAAAUGAUUUAUUAACUGCCACAUACAUCAACGGAGAGUUUGUGUGAUCCUUCCCUCGUCUGGGUCAAGCGUAUUCACCUGAGAUUGUCUUGGAGGCCACUGGCUCUUUCUCUUAUGUCCCCCAGGUGCUGGAGAUGACACUGGCCUCUGCCUGUAUGGAAACAGCCUAUAGAAAAAAAUAGAAGAAGAAGGAAAGAAAAAACAGAGGAAGAAGAGAUUUUAGGAUUGGUGAAUGAUAGGAGAUGGCUUGUUGAGGAAAGGAUUAAAAGACAUCCAUUUGACAUGAGGGUCACCAGGGAAACGUGUCACCGCUGUGCUUCCUUGGCCAUGAAGCCAGGUUGGCUCUGCAGCUUCGAGGUGCAUUUGUCUGGACACACAUAGCCACCAGCACCACCAAUCAACUGCAUGUGGAACAACUGACAGCCCUCUGGGUGUUUUGGAGUCAUUCAGCUUUACCUGGAAAGGUGCUGUAAAAAGUAAAUAAAGCUAGAUGUGUCACACCUGGUCUUAGCAUGAGCCACUUGGCAUCACUGGAUGUCCAUUAUCUCACUCAUUUAUGUGAAAUGCCAGUUCCCUCGGGCCCUUGAGUUUGACAGCCCUCUUUUAAAAUUUUAGAUUCAAGGAGCACAUGCGCAGGGAUAUUUUUUGUUUUUGUUUUUGUUUUUUGUUUUUUUUGAAGUAGAGUUUCACUCUCCCCCAGACUGGAGUGCAGUGGCAUGAUCUCGGCUCACUGC
rnacentral:lncRNA from 1 species